CCUACGGGUGGCAGCAGUGGGGAAUAUUGCACAAUGGGGGAAACCCUGAUGCAGCGACGCCGCGUGAGGGAAGAAGUAUUUCGGUAUGUAAAGCUCUAUCAGCAGGGAAGAAAAUGACGGUACCUGAGUAAGAAGCCCCGGCUAACUACGUGCCAGCAGCCGCGGUAAUACGUAGGGGGCAAGCGUUAUCCGGAUUUACUGGGUGUAAAGGGAGCGUAGACGGCAGUGCAAGUCAGGAGUGAAAGGCGGGGGCGCAACCCCGGGACUGCUCUUGAAACUGUACGGCUGGAGUGCAGGAGAGGUAAGUGGAAUUCCUAGUGUAGCGGUGAAAUGCGUAGAUAUUAGGAGGAACACCAGUGGCGAAGGCGGCUUACUGGACUGUAACUGACGUUGAGGCUCGAAAGCGUGGGGAGCAAACAGGAUUAGAUACCCUGGUAGUC
rnacentral:rRNA from 1 species